AACGAACGCUGGCGGCAGGCUUAACACAUGUAAGUCGAACGAUCUCUUCGGAGAUAGUGGCGGACGGGUGAGUAACGCGUGGGAACAUGCCCUGGGGUAGGGAACAACAGCUGGAAACGGCUGCUAAUACCUUAUAAUGUCGAUAGACCAAAGAUUUAUCGCCCUGGGAUUGGCCCGCGUUGGAUUAGCUAGUUGGUGAGGUAAUGGCUUACCAAGGCGACGAUCUAUAGCUGGUUUGAGAGGAUGAUCAGCCACACUGGGACUGAGACACGGCCCAG
rnacentral:rRNA from 1 species